GUGACUACUGUGCUGUGCGGCGCUGUAAGGCGGAGGGGGCGAAGGGUAUGCGGAAUUACUGUGCUGAGAGGGGUCGUAGGGGGAUGUGUCAGGUAGCCGUGACAGCCCCGGGGUCAACCUGUGAGCGGCGGUUGGGAGGGCCCGUCUCGGGUGUGCUAGAGGAUCGUGGAAUUCCGGGGGUAGCAGUGAAAUGCGUAGAGAUGUGGAGGAACACCAAUGGCGAAGGCAGCCCCCUGGGUCGAUACUGACGCUCAUGCACGAAAGCGUGGGUAGCAAACAGGAUUAGAUACCCUGGUAGUC
rnacentral:rRNA from 1 species